UGGGGAAUAUUGCACAAUGGGCGCAAGCCUGAUGCAGCCAUGCCGCGUGUAUGAAGAAGGCCUUCGGGUUGUAAAGUACUUUCAGUCGGGAGGAAGGUGUCAAGGUUAAUAACCUUGGCAAUUGACGUUACCGACAGAAGAAGCACCGGCUAACUCCGUGCCAGCAGCCGCGGUAAUACGGAGGGUGCAAGCGUUAAUCGGAAUUACUGGGCGUAAAGCGCACGCAGGCGGUUGAUUGAGUCAGAUGUGAAAUCCCCGGGCUUAACCCGGGAAUUGCAUCUGAUACUGGUCAGCUAGAGUCUUGUAGAGGGGGGUAGAAUUCCAUGUGUAGCGGUGAAAUGCGUAGAGAUCUGGAGGAAUACCGGUGGCGAAGGCGGCCCCCUGGACAAAGACUGACGCUCAGGUGCGAAAGCGUGGGGAGCAAACAGG
rnacentral:rRNA from 1 species